rnacentral:sRNA from 1 species
CUGGCAGCCCUGGAGACUAAAGGUCUGCAUUUAAUAAAGAGCAGGUACAGCACAGGCAACUACAGAGGUGCAGAUUUCCCCGCACUACCCCAGCCAAUGUCUCUCCACCCUGGCCUGUAGCUGGGACAGAGGCUAAUUCUAUAUGCUAGUCUAUCCAUUGCCUCU